GUGUCAGCAGCCGCGGUAAUACGUAGGUGGCAAGCGUUGUCCGGAAUUAUUGGGCGUAAAGGGCUCGCAGGCGGUUUCUUAAGUCUGAUGUGAAAGCCCCCGGCUCAACCGGGGAGGGUCAUUGGAAACUGGGGAACUUGAGUGCAGAAGGGGAGAGUGGAAUUCCACGUGUAGCGGUGAAAUGCGUAGAGAUGUGGAGGAACACCAGUGGCGAAGGCGACUCUCUGGUCUGUAACUGACGCUGAGGAGCGAAAGCGUGGGGAGCGAACAGGAUUAGAAACC
rnacentral:rRNA from 1 species